CAGCCGCCGCGGUAAUACGAAGGGGGCUAGCGUUGUUCGGAUUUACUGGGCGUAAAGGGCGCGUAGGCGGACUGAUAAGUCAGGGGUGAAAUCCCAGGGCUCAACCUUGGAACUGCCUUUGAUACUGUUUGUCUUGAGUUCGAGAGAGGUAAGUGGAACUGCGAGUGUAGAGGUGAAAUUCGUAGAUAUUCGCAAGAACACCAGUGGCGAAGGCGGCUUACUGGCUCGAAACUGACGCUGAGGCGCGAAAGCGUGGGGGGCAAACAGGAUUAGAUACCCCGGUAGUCCCUGUCUCUUAUAC
rnacentral:rRNA from 1 species